CGCGGGGUGGAGCAGCUCGGUAGCUCGCUGGGCUCAUAACCCAGAGGUCGCAGGUUCGAAUCCUGCCCCCGCUACAA
rnacentral:tRNA from 6 species